GGCUGGUCCAAGUGCAAUGGUGUUUACAACUAAUUGAUCACAACCAGGUACAGACGCACUUGACUAGCCUGGA
rnacentral:sRNA from 1 species